UCAGAUUAAUAAACUUAACCUAGUAUAAUCGUUGGAGAAUGGCUAACGAGAUCUACCUGCACCUAAGCUGCGGACUACUAGUUUUAAGGGAUGAGUC
rnacentral:ncRNA from 2 species